GGCCUGGUGGUCUAGUAGUAUGAUUCCUUCUUAGGGUUAAUCAGACGAUUACAAUUUGGAGGAGGUCCCGGGUUCAAUUCCCGGCCAGGCCC